GUCCCCGGCGUCCGGGCGCCCUGCAUGGAUCCCCCACCCCAGCUCCUGCUCCCCGGCGGCGGCCGGUGGGCAGAAAGACCGAAACCCACUCACGGCCGCCUGCCGAAUCGCGGCUCUGCUGUUUGUGGGGCGUGCUAGAAACGUGGUCCUAAAAAGAAUGGCGUCCAUUUACAUAAUGCUUUGUUUGCGUUUCGCAAGUUUCUUUCGGUUAAAGCCACAGAAACCCCACCUCCUGCCCUUGUGUCGUUUCCACCGCGGCACCCUUUUCCGACAUUAGAAACAAUAGUGUACGCCUGUGGAGGCCUCGUUUGUUCAGGGGCUGCCGGCCAGGGCUUCAGGACGUUUCUGCGGCUUUCCCCGCGCGGCCUGGGCUCCCGCGGCUGCUUUUCGGGCCCAUGGGCGCAGCCACUGCGCCAGGCUCAAGGGGGGCGGCCCCGUCAGGGCCCGCCAUCUUGGAAGGCCUUUUUUGCCGGUUCUUCCCGCUGAGGAAGUGUCGCUCAAGACGCUGGCCUAUGAGUUGUGAUUUCUGCCUUUUCCCCUUCCUCCUUGGGCUAAGCCAGACCAGAAAGGGCCCCGUGCGCAACGUGCUUCACAAUCUCUCAGGGAAAGCGGCUAACGUGGCGCUACUCCGCCUCCCCUGUUCCUUACCCUUGGGGCGGCCGCCAUGUUUCCUGAACACAAAAUGGCGACACGUGGUUAGCAUUCGUCGCCAACGAGAAAUUGGGGUCGGCCCGAAAGCUCUAGAAUGCACCCCUCUUCCUCCCCGGGGCCUUCCACCUCCGCGAGUUUUAUGACUUAAAAAAGCCCACAGGCUGGUCUGAAGGUCGGAGGCCUAAUUUUAACGCGUUUUCCUCCCUUUAAUUUGAAACGGGAACGCGAAUGACUGUAAAAUGUGGGCACAAUAUUUAAUCUCUCGCCUUUUUAAAGCUUAAUAGUGGAUAAUAGGGGGGCAGUAUCAAGGGAUAAUUUGGGUCCCCACAGUACCAAAGCAUUUAGAAACCUCUGUUUAAUUUAAGGAAUGAGAUAAGUUACUGCUUUUCUAGACUUCCUAGCAUGGGCUGUUGUGCUGGAGAGAACGAGAGCUACGAAGAGACUACAGUGCCUCUGACUUUUUCAUAGGACAGUUGGCCGGUGAAUCUUAUUAAUAGUUUACCACAAUUAAGUGUUCAUUUUUAGUCUAGAAGGGACAGGCGUUUAUUGUGCAUUGGCCAGUGCCAGCACAUCCGAUGCAAGGCAGUUCACCGUAUUCUAUCUUUAAUUUUUACCAUGGUCCUCUGAGGUAGGUGUUCUUAUCUCUCUCUCUCUCUCUCUCUUUUAAACAGAGGAAGACAAACAUAAAGAUGAAGUGCUUAAUUCAAGGUCACACAAUGUCGGGGAUGGACCUCCAGAUUUCCUUACUGACCUGCAUUAUCUUGUGGAUACCUGAGUGAAUUCCACACCACCCAUUUUAUAGAUGAAACCACUGAGACAUGGAGCAAUUGACUGAGUAGUCACUGCCCCACCCCUGCCUGGAGCCUCACACAUGACUCGCCUCCUCUCAGUGACCACAGGUGAGACGUGGUCUUGUAACACAGUGGUUAAGAAUGUGACUUUGGAGCCAGCCUGCUAGGGGCUGAAUUCUGACUCAGCCAUUUACUAACUGUGUGACCUUAGGGAGGAGGACCUGGUUGAUAGAAGAAUUUAUCUCGUAGUCUUAACAUCCACUGUAAUUCCAAACUUUGAGGACGAUAGAGAUCAGUGGGCUUUGACUGCCCAGCAUGCAGUCUCCAUUCUUAGGUGGGUUCCCAAGCCUGUAAAAUGUAAGCCUUAUGCUGCUGAGGGCCAUCUUGCCACCCUGAGGGAAACGCUGCCUGAGAAUGAAACAAGCAUAAGUAAAAGCUGAGCUGUGAGAUGGAGCAAGAUGAAGGCCACAUGACAUCUUUGGAGCACCUGGAUCUAACUGUGCCUUAAGCUAGUCUAACCCUGAACAUUUCAUCAUUUCAUUGACAUGAGCCCAGGUUUUCUUUUUUUUUGGAUGGAGUCUUGCUCUGUCGCCCAGGCUGGAGUGCAGUAGCUCAAUCUCGGCUCACUGCAAGCUCCACCUCCCGGGUUCACGCCAUUCUCCUGCCUUAGCCUCCCAAGUAGCUGGGACAACAGGCGCCCACCACCACUCCCAGCUAAUUUUUUGUAUUUUUAGUAGAGACGGGGUUUUACCAUGUUAGCCGGGAUGGUCUUGAUCUCCUGACCUCAUGAUCCGCCCGCCUCGGCCUCCCAAAGUGCUGGGAUUACAGGUGUGAGCCACUGCACCCAGCCCUCAGGUUUUCCCUUUUUUUACCCCUCCUUUUGAAAAUUUGAUGUGGAAUUUUGCCACCUGCAGCCAGAAGAGUUUUAACUAAUCAGUGCCAUAAAUUUUAUAUAGUUCUCCUUGCAAAAUGUGGAUCAGCCUUUCUCAGCAAAUCCUUUGUCAUAAAGUGCUGAAUUGUAAGUUUGUCAUGAGAAUCACAUGAGAUCAUGCAUGUGAAGAACCUGGCAUUAUCCUCCUCAUAGAAAAAAACCAGUAAAUAUUAACUACAGGAAGCAAGGAAGGAGUGGGGUGAGGGGAAGAAGAAGGGGUACUGAUUUAAAAGAACCCUGGAGUCCUAAGGAUAAUCUAGGAACCCUCAGACCCAAUCCGAUACCCCUAUUCUAAAUGCUCCUAGUGCCCUGUACCUUCCCCUCAUAAGCCUUCAUUAUCAUUGUAAUGAUAUGUUUAUGUAAUAUUUUGAUUAAUGUCUCUCCUUCACUGACCUAGCAGUUCUAGCAGGGCAGUGAUUUUGCUGUGUUGCAUCCCCAGCACCUAGUCUGGUAUGUGGCAUUCAGCAUAUGUUUAUUGAAUGAAUGGCCAUGUGGUUAUUCAGAUCCUCCUUGAUUAUUGGGGUUAGGAUUGUGGCAGAAGUGGCAAAAUCAGGGAGAGUAGUCCCUGUCCCCUCUGUAUCUUAUACACUGCCCACACUCCCAACACACAUACACAUACAGAGAAUUUUGUCUCAAUUAGAUAAUUAACUUCUGCUUGGUUGUAAACCAAACCACUGGUUCUUAAACUUUCAUUGGAUCAUUUUAUUGAAGAAUUAAAUAGUGUGGUUCUGGCCUAAUGUCUGGAAAGCCUUGCAGAGGAGUGGAUUAGGUCUUUGUGAUAAACAGGCAGCCUUCCCUGCUCCUGUGUCUUUAUAAAAUCUAUUUAACUGGAGUAGUCCACCCUCCCUCAGGCUCUUACAGGAAUAUGUUGGAGGCUGUAGGAAGGUGGGAAACCGAGAGGGAAAGGACUGGGCCGCUGGAGACUUCACUCAUUCCCUAGCAAGAAACAAAAGCAGUAAAAGGUGGCCCGAGGACAACCUGAAGCUCACUCCUUCAGCACUUUUGGCUGGAGGUCACUUGUUGGAGCCCCACUCAGAGCUCAGCACACCACCCCACCAGCAGCCUCCUCCUCCCAGCUGAGGCUGCAUUUCAUCCCUUCCCCCAGCCUGCUUUCCCUGAGAUAGGGGAGUGUUUCCCAGGGCCCAUGUGACUUCCACUGGCAAGUGACGAUUACCAAUGGUUUACUAGUCAGUGAAACUACCAAAGGCUUUUGUGCUGUAGUAAUCCUUUUCCUGUUUAAAACUCUGGGGAUUUUCUAAUGUUGCCAAUAGUUUUUCAAGUCAGCAAUUACUGUGUGGAUUAUGUAAUGGCUCGGUAUUAAAAAUAGAAAAGACUGGA
rnacentral:lncRNA from 1 species